GAUGAACGCUGGCGGCGUGCCUAAUACAUGCAAGUCGAGCGAACGGACUAGAAGCUUGCUUCUCUGAUGUUAGCGGCGGACGGGUGAGUAACACGUGGAUAACCUACCUAUAAGACUGGGAUAACUUCGGGAAACCGUAGCUAAUACCGGAUAAUAUUUUGAACCGCAUUGUUCAAAAGUGAAAGACGGUCUUGCUUUCACUUAUAGACGGAUCCUCUCUGCAUUAGCUAGUUGGUAAGGUAACGGCUUACCAAGGCAACGAUGCAUAGCCGACCUGAGAGGGUGAUCGGCCACACUGGAACUGAGACACGGUACAGACUCCUACGGGAGGCAGCAGUAGGGAAUCUUCCGCGAUGGGCGGAAGCCUGACGGAGCAACGCCGCGUGAGUGAUGAAGGUCUUCGGAUCGGAAAACUCUGUUAUUAGGGAAGAACAUAUGUGUAAGUAACUGUGCACAUCUUGACGGUACCUAAUCAGAAAGCCACGGCUAACUACGUG
rnacentral:rRNA from 1 species